rnacentral:rRNA from 1 species
UACGUAGGGUGCGAGCGUUGUCCGGAAUUAUUGGGCGUAAAGAGCUCGUAGGCGGUUUGUCGCGUCGACUGUGAAAACCUGGGGCUUAACUCUGGGCCUGCAGUCGAUACGGGCAGACUUGAGUGUUGCAGGGGAGACUGGAAUUCCUGGUGUAGCGGUGAAAUGCGCAGAUAUCAGGAGGAACACCGGUGGCGAAGGCGGGUCUCUGGGCAACUACUGACGCUGAGGAGCGAAAGCGUGGGGAGCGAACAGG